rnacentral:rRNA from 1 species
GCGUUGUCCGGAUUUACUGGGCGUAAAGCGCGUGUAGGCGGUGCCGGUAGUCUGCUGUGAAAGCGCCCCGCUUAACGGGGCGAGGUCGGCGGAAACUGCGGCACUCGAGGACGGUAGAGGGGGGUGGAAUUCCCGGUGUAGUGGUGAAAUGCGUAGAGAUCGGGAGGAACACCUGUGGCGAAGGCGGCCCCCUGGGCCGGCCCUGACGCUGAGACGCGAAGGCUAG